rnacentral:rRNA from 1 species
GUGUCCUUGAGACGUGGCUUCCGGAGCUAACGCGUUAAAUAGACCGCCUGGGGAGUACGGCCGCAAGGUUAAAACUCAAAUGAAUUGACGGGGGCCCGCACAAGCGGUGGAGCAUGUGGUUUAAUUCGAUGCAACGCGAAGAACCUUACCUGACCUUGACAUGUCUGGAAUCUUGUAGAGAUAGGGGAGUGCCUUUGGGAAUCAGAACACAGGUGUUGCAUGGGGGUCGUCAGCUCGUGUCUUGAGAUGUUUGGUUAAAUCCCCCAAAGAGCGCAACCCCUUUCCUUUUUUUCCAGCACGUUAUGGGGGAACUCAAAGGAGACUGCCGGUGAUAAACCGGAGGAAGGUGGGGAUGACGUCAAGUCAUCAUGGCCCUUACGGCCAGGGCUACACACGUGCUACAAUGGCGAGUACAAAGGGCAGCGACCUAGCGAGAGCAAGCGAAUCCCAAAAAGUGGGUCGUAGUCCGGAUCGGAGUCUGCAACUCGACUCCGUGAAGUCGGAAUCGCUAGUAAUCGCAAAUCAGAAUGUUGCGGUGAAUACGUUCCCGGGCCUUGUACACACCGCCCGUCACACCAUGGGAGUGGGUUGCACCAGAAG